rnacentral:lncRNA from 1 species
UAAAUCAGUAGUUUAUUUUUUCUAAUGUUUGUUGGAUUUUAUUUAUUUAUUUUUUAAUACCCUUCGACUUAUUAGUAAUGACUUUUAGAAAUGAAGCCAUCUUUAUCUAUAUUACAUUUUUUUUCUUGUUAUUUUUCUUCUUCUUGUGUGUCUUCCUUGAUUAUCAUAUAAGUUAGAUUGUUGAGUUGCACAAAAUAUUAAAAAUAUUAAUCACUAUAUAUAUAUAUAUAUAUAUAUAUAUAUAUAAACAUAAUUAUUGUUCUACUUGUCAUAUAUUUGAUUAUUCAAAUUGAGAGUUCUAAUUGUUUCUUUGAGGCCAUUAAUAAGCUCAAUUUUGAAUUUAAGAUAUUUUAAUAGGAUUUCAAUGAUAUUUGCAAUUGCUUUGAAUUUUAUCCUAAAUUCGUUUAACAAAUUCCUUAGAGUAAUCCAAAUUAGAUUUUUUAUUUGUUUUUGCAUUGGUAAAAAAAAAAAAAAAAAAAAAAAAAAACUGAUCAAUUUUUUAUAUUUAUUCUGAAAUUGUGCAAACUCUUUACUGAAAUUUGUACGCAUUAACAGUUAAACUUUUUGGGUGAUUUUUUUAUAAGCUUGAUGUCUCUAAGUUCAUUUCAGAAUCUUUGCUAUCUAUUGCAAUGUAGAUCACAAUAUUCCUCCUUUGCCACGGCUCUUAUUUUGUAGUCUUUCUGUUCUUUUUUUAGCUAUUGGGUGUUGACACAUUUUUUUUGUCCCUGCCAUACACAAUGGGUGACUAGACUCCAUUUUUGAUGAGACAAUUUUCAAAACCCUAAUUCUGAAAGCCCUAACUUUCACAGCUCUGGAAAAAAAACUCUGAUUUGUACUUAGAUCACAUGAAACAAAAAACCUUGUGAUUCCUUUGGUUAAGGAUCAAAGGUAUACAAUACAAAUUCUACAAUUUUGCUGAAAAAACUAGUGAGGAUUAAGAACAAAGUAAGAUAAUUUGAAAAAAUAUAUAUAUAUAUAUAUAUAUAUAUAUAUUUAUUCACACAUAUUCACACACACAUGCAUACAAAUAUAUCUGCACAAUUUUUUGUGUGUGAUUUAAGGCACAAUCAGUGGAAGUUUAUAUUUAUUUUAUUUUCUUGUUUAUGAUAAAUAUAGCAUCUGUGUUUUCAAAGUGUUUUAAUUUUUUUUUGUUAUAUAUAAUUUUCUUUUGAAAAGUAAAAAUCUUUUAUGCAUAAUUGAAAUGGAGGAUGCACACCAUCCAAGAAUGGGCUUUCAAAGUGGUAGGAAAAGGUCCUUGACUUUGCAUACUAUGAUGAAUUGCAAGGAGAUUCUUCCACAACAUAAUGAACAGGAAUUUAUCAUUGCUGAUAUAAAUUGAUUACUUGAUCUUUUUGAAUUAAAAAUUAAAAAAUUAAAAAUGAAUUUCAUUCAUGACAAUUGAGCGAAAGUUUUUCCUUUCUUCAUGUUGCUUUCUUUGAUUUUUUUGUUAUUUUUAUUUACUCAUUUAUUGAUAAUCCAGGUUUUUUCACAUGUAUGGAUUGAGAAGAGUGGAGUAAAGUAAAACAGUAUCAGAAUAUCAGAUGCAGACUAAGAGUCCCUAAAACACCAAAAACAGAGCAUUCAAACUUUGUGACCUUUUAUCUGUUUCAGUUAAUGCGCACACACACACACACACACUUAUAUAUCAUGAACCUGAUUACAUAUGUGCAGGGAAAAGAAUAGAUGGAGAAGUAAAAAAAAGAAGCAAGGAAGUGAGAAUGGGAUGUAUAUGGAAGUGUUUUGACAGAGUGGCAAUCAUGGUCAAUGGGUGCAAGUCUAAGUCCCUGCCAGCAACUUAGUUCCGCACCCUCCCAUCAAACCACCCAUGGAUAUAAUAGAAAUAGUACAACUGAAAAGGAUAAACAAAAUUCUAGUUGCAUGUAUGUGUGCCAAAAAGGGUUUUGUAUGGGGGAGCCUGGGGAAGGAAUAAGGAAAGAAAACAAAGAAGAAGAACAAAAAACCCAUGGUAGUCCAUAAAAAAAAAAUAUAACAACAACAAUAAUACUAACAAUAGUUUAUAUAUACCUCCCAAUAAGAGAGUAAGCUACUAUAUUAUGUCCUGCACAAAGCUCCAGGCAGGGCUGAUUUUAAUGGGCUACGCUGCCUAGUCACUACCCUCCAAGUGGCAAGAACAUGGCCCAAUUGCCACAGUGGACCCAAUCCCUGCUGGCCUAUGGAGGACCCCACUUUCAGUAUCGCCCCCAAUAAUAUUCUGCCACAUGGUUAUCCAAUUUGUGCCAUUGACAAAUCAGUCUUUGUCCACAAAUUCAAUUGAAAAUGGCUCAAGUAUUUAUUUAUUUAUUUAUCUAAUUUUGGAAAAUUCAAUCACUUAAGCCAGAAAUGAAACAACAGAAGACUAAUCAUGAAUUGUAGAACUUCAACAAAAUGUUACCCUUCCUACUUUCCCUUCUUUCCUUGUUUUUUUAAACUAUGUACAUUUAGUUAUUUUGAUAAUUAUACAUUUGACAUGAUGGAUUCCCACAC